rnacentral:misc_RNA from 1 species
GAUGAAGAACGCAGCGAAAUGCGAUAAGUAAUGUGAAUUGCAGAAUUCAGUGAAUCAUCGAAUCUUUGAACGCACAUUGCGCCCAUUAGUAUUCUAGUGGGCAUGCCUGUUCGAGCGUCAUUUGUACCUUCAAGCUCUGCUUGGUGUUGGGUGUUUGUCUCGCCUCUGCGUGUAGACUCGCCUUAAAACAAUUGGCAGCCGGCGUAUUGAUUUCGGAGCGCAGUACAUCUCGCGCUUUGCACUCAUAACGACGACGUCCAAAAGUACAUUUUUACACUCUUGACCUCGGAUCAGGUAGGGAUACCCGCUGAACUUAAGCAUAUCAAUAAGCGGAGGA